rnacentral:rRNA from 1 species
GGUUAAGCGACUAAGCGUACACGGUGGAUGCCCUGGCAGUCAGAGGCGAUGAAGGGCGUGCUAAUCUGCGAUAAGCGCCGGUAAGGUGAUAUGAACCGUUAUAACCGGCGAUACCCGAAUGGGGAAACCCAGUGUGAUUCGUCACACUAUCAUUAACUGAAUCCAUAGGUUAAUGAGGCGAACCGGGGGAACUGAAACAUCUAAGUACCCCGAGGAAAAGAAAUCAACCGAGAUUCCCCCAGUAGCGGCGAGCGAACGGGGAGGAGCCCAGAGCCUGAAUCAGCAUGUGUGUUAGUGGAAGCGUCUGGAAAGGCGCGCGAUACAGGGUGACAGCCCCGUACACAAAAGCGCAUGUGCUGUGAGCUCGAUGAGUAGGGCGGGACACGUGGUAUCCUGUCUGAAUAUGGGGGGACCAUCCUCCAAGGCUAAAUACUCCUGACUGACCGAUAGUGAACCAGUACCGUGAGGGAAAGGCGAAAAGAACCCCGGCGAGGGGAGUGAAAAAGAA